rnacentral:rRNA from 1 species
AGUGAACGCUGGCGGUAGGCCUAACACAUGCAAGUCGAACGGCAGCACAGUAAGAGCUUGCUCUUACGGGUAGCGAGUGGCGGACGGGUGAGGAAUACAUCGGAAUCUACUUUUUCGUGGGGGAUAACGUAGGGAAACUUACGCUAAUACCGCAUACGACCUACGGGUGAAAGCAGGGGAUCUUCGGACCUUGCGCGAUUGAAUGAGCCGAUGUCGGAUUAGCUAGUUGGCGGGGUAAAGGCCCACCAAGGCGACGAUCCGUAGCUGGUCUGAGAGGAUGAUCAGCCACACUGGAACUGAGACACGGUCCAGACUCCUACGGGAGGCAGCAGUGGGGAAUAUUGGACAAUGGGCGCAAGCCUGAACCAGCCAUACCGCGUGGGUGAAGAAGGCCUUCGGGUUGUAAAGCCCUUUUGUUGGGAAAGAAAAGCAGCAGGUUAAUACCCCGCUGUUCUGACGGUACCCAAAGAAUAAGCACCGGCUAACUUCGUG